rnacentral:misc_RNA from 1 species
GAUGAAGAACGUAGCGAAAUGCGAUAAGUAAUGUGAAUUGCAGAAUUCCGUGAAUCAUCGAAUUUUUGAACGCACAUUGCGCCCCCUGGUAUUCCGGGGGGCAUGCCUGUCCGAGCGUCAUUGCUGCCCUCAAGCACGGCUUGUGUGUUGGGCCUCCGUCCUCCUCCCGGGGGACGGGCCCGAAAGGCAGCGGCGGCGCCGCGUCCGGUCCUCGAGCGUAUGGGGCUUCGUCACCCGCUCUUGUAGGCCCGGCCGGCGCUUGCCGACACAUCAAUCUUUUUUCCAGGUUGACCUCGGAUCAGGUAGGGAUACCCGCUGAACUUAAGCAUAUCAAUAAGCGGAGG